UUCUAGCCCAGAUAGUAGCGAAAAUCCUUUUUAUCCCGAUUUUUUUCGGGAUAAAAAGAUUGAAGCGGAUAGCUGGAAACAGC
rnacentral:sRNA from 1 species